GUGCUCACUUUAGCAGCACAUAUACUGAAAUUGGAACUAUACAGAGAAUAUUAGCAUGGGCCCUGUGCUAGGAUGACACAAAUUCCUGAAGCAUUCCGUAUUUUU